rnacentral:miRNA from 1 species
GGGUCUGGGGAAGGUGGGGGUGGGGGGGGGAGGAACAGAACAACGGCUGACUAUCCAUCCUCCUCUACAG